rnacentral:lncRNA from 1 species
AGGAAGCGCGCGGGGCUCCUCCGACGCCGCGGUCGCAAAGGUGCGGAGGGGACGCAGGGUGCAGGCCGGGCGCACUGAACUUCCUGCACGGCAGCCAGUCGCCGCCCGGGCCCAGCCCCGGCCCAUCCUGGCCAUGCAGGCCCGCACUCGCCCCUGCCCGAGCCUCCGGAGCACCGCUCGGGGCUCCGCUGCUCUGGCCUGGGGGGCGGGGCCGGCGGCGCGGCGUCAUGCAUAUGCAUGAGCAGCGCGGCGGCGGCUCCAUUGUGCCCUCCGAGCGGCGGCGGCGCGAUGGCGCGGGCGGCGGCGGCCCGGGGGCGGCGGGCGGCGCCGAGGGCGGGCUGAGCGCAUGGAGCGGCGCGGGCCGGGGGCCGCGGCGACGGGCCGGGCCGGGCCGGGCGGAGGAAAGAGCUGCCAGCCAGGGGCUGGGUUGGCGCCUGUGUCCUGUGUCAGCCGAGUCGGUACAGCCGCCCUAAGGCCAAGCUGGUGGAUGGACUGCUGUUGUACAUCUGCUUCCUGACUUUCCCAGCCUCCGCCUCAAAGAACACUUAGGCUCUGCUCCUUCUCAGCAGCCGGAGCAGCAACUCCCAGAUAAAUUCCAGCGCAUUGGGCCUGUAGGCUGCUCCAUCACCAAUGAACCCCAUGAACCCCAUGAAACCUGCCCUGCCCCCUGCACCACACGGUGAUGGUUCAUUUGCAUAUGAGUCUGUGCCUUGGCAACAAAGUGCCACUCAGCCAGCUGGGUCACUGUCCGUGGUCACUACUGUGUGGGGAGUUGGCAACGCAACACAGAGCCAGGUGAGUGUGUCCCGGGCCGUCCUCCCCCAGUUGAGGACCCAGAGCUUUGGUGUGCCUCUGCCGUCUUAGGGCUCCAAGAACAAGGGACCAAGAGGACUGCUGAAUCACAAGGACGGGGCUUCCUGAGGGUCUCAAGUCACUAGGUGCCUUCCUCCUGUACUGUCAUGGGAUGUCUGCCCCUGGCUCCAUA